UACGAAGGGGGCUAGCGUUGCUCGGAAUCACUGGGCGUAAAGCGCACGUAGGCGGCUUUUUAAGUCAGGGGUGAAAUCCUGGAGCUCAACUCCAGAACUGCCUUUGAUACUGAGAAGCUUGAGUCCGGGAGAGGUGAGUGGAACUGCGAGUGUAGAGGUGAAAUUCGUAGAUAUUCGCAAGAACACCAGUGGCGAAGGCGAGUCUCUGGACAUUUCCUGACGCUGAGGCACGAAAGCCAGGGGAGCAAACGGG
rnacentral:rRNA from 1 species